GGGGGAGGCGGGAUCAUGGGCUGUGUCCCGGCGCCCUGUGCUCCGGAGCCUGCGCUGGUGGAUUCGCGCUCCGCCGGCGCAGCCACCU
rnacentral:pre_miRNA from 1 species